rnacentral:rRNA from 1 species
AUAUCAAUAAGGGGAGGAAAAGAAAACAACUGUGAUUCCGUUAGUAACGGCGAGUGAACACGGAGAAGCUCAUCGAUGAAGGGUAGUCCUUUGAUUACCCGGUGUUCGGUUUGGAUCGGUACCUGAUUGUUUUGUUGCACAGCAAUCCUGUUGGAAUGCAUGAUCAUAGAGGGUAAUAAUCCCGUGAAUGUGCUCCAAUUCAGUCAUUGGUCCUUUCUAGUGAGUAGAGUUAUUUGAAAUUGUAACUCAAAGUGGAGAUAUGUCUCUCCAAAAGCUAAAUAAAAUGCGAGUCCGAUAGUAAACAAGUACCGUGAGGGAAAGUUGAAAAGCACUCUGAAGAGAGAGUGAAAAGUACGUGAAACCGUUGGGAGAGAAAGGAAGAGAACGUUAACAUCUUCUAAUGCCUCAGUACUCAGUUGCUAGGUGAAUGAAGGGUGUCGUUACUUUCUAUAGUUGUUGUGAUUGGUCUCAGCUGCUUCUAACCUUUGGUUUAAAGUGGUGAGCCUCUUACAUUGAAUUAGAUAUCGUCUGAUUCUGUUUUAACAAUGGGGAGUAACUUCAUUUUCAAUGUUCUCUACCACCCGUCUUGAAACACGGACCAAGGAGUGUGGGUUGCCGGCAAGUGACUGUGCGAUUGAAUGCACAUGCGCGAAGUGAAAGCGAAUAUGUGUUCCUAACGGGAUGCAUGCUAUUGUGGUGAAAGCGCUAAUACAGUGUCUCGCAACCACGGGCGGUCUCGCAUUAAAUUGCUUGAUCGACCUUGAGCCGGUAACACACGACCCGAAAGAUGGUGAUCUAUGCUUGGGCAGGGUGAAGCCACGGGAAACCAUGGUGGAAGCCCGAAGCGGUUCUGACGUGCAAAUCGAUCGUCUGACCCAAGUAUAGGGGCGAAAGACUAAUCGAACCAUCUAGUAGCUGGUUCCCUCCGAAGUUUCCCUCAGGAUAGCGAAAACUCAAAUGAAUGAUCUAUGCAAAACAGUUUCAUCGGGUAAAGCGAAUGAUUAGAGGAAUGGGGGACUCCGUGUUCUUCACCUAUUCUCAAACUUUAAAUCGGUGAGAUGUCCUUGUGACUUAAUUGCACUUGGACUAUUGAAUGUGAGUUUUCAGUGGGCCGUUUUUGGUAAGCAGAACCGGCGAUGUGGGAUGAACCAAACGUUGAGUUAAGGCGCCUAACUACUUGCUCAUGAGUAACCACAAAAGGUGUUGAUUGAUAUUGACAGCAGGACGGUGGCCAUGGAAGUCGGAAUCCGCUAAGGAGUGUGUAACAACUCACCUGCCGAAUCAAUCAGCCCUGAAAAUGGAUGGCACUUGAGCUAGUGGCCUAUACUCGACCGUGAACAUCAAAGUCUGACUUUGUGUCGGAAUGAAUGGAUUAAAUUCCAAAUUAUAUGUUCACGAGUAGGAGGGAACAGCGGUUGCGUUAAAGUGUAUCCGUGAGGGUAUGCGUCAAGCGGCCGUUGGCUCAGAUCUUGGUGGUAGUAGCAAGUACUCAAAUAUGAACUUUGAGGGCUGAAGCGGGCAAGGUUUUCAUGUGAACAGUGUUUGAACAUGAGUUAGUCGAUUCUGAGAGACAGGCUAAUGCCUAUUGUACAGUAGUGUUUCGCCAACUACUUUGUCUCGAAAGAGUAUAGGGUUAAUAUUCCCUAACUGUCCCUAUCGGUGAUAACGGCGGUAACGCCAGCCUAACUCAAUUAGUCAAUGUGAACUUGGGGAAGAGUUUUCUUUUCUUUAUAACCAGUAGUGUUACCUUGGAAUUGAUUCAAUCAGAGAUAAGGAACCGAGACUGGGAAGAGCAUAACAGCAUUUGUUGUGUCCCAAUUGUUUGCAUUGUCCCUUGAAGAUUGAGUGAAGCUAAAACCAAUAGGAACAAUCGUACCCAUAACCGCAUCAGGUCCCCAAGGUGAGAAGCCUCUGGUCUUGGAACAGUGUAGGUAAGGGAAGUCGGCAAAAUUGAUCCGUACCUUAGGAAGAAGGAUUGGCUCUGAUGAUUGGGUGUAGCAAGCCAUUUGUUUGAAACGUCGGUACUUGUCGGUGUGCGAUNUNGUNUGUUCGUGCCCUCGGGUGUGUUCGGAUGAUGUUGGCGNNNANUNGAACUGUGCGUGGACUAGCAUUUGGUCUUUCUCUGUUGCACAGNUAACAAUCAA